rnacentral:rRNA from 1 species
GACGAACGCUGGCGGCGUGGAUUAGGCAUGCAAGUCGAAUGCGAAAGUAGCAAUACUAGUAGCAUGGCGAAAGGGAUAGUAAUGCAUGAGCAAUCUACCCUCGACUCUGGGAUAUGCGGUUGAAAGACCGAGUAAUACUAGACAUCGUUGACGAAGGACAUCCUUUGACAAUGAAAAGUCCGCUGGUCGGGAGGAGCUCAUGUCCUANCAGCUAGUUGGCGGGGUAACGGCCCACCAAGGCGAGGACGGGUAGCGGGUGUGAGAGCACGACCCGCAUCACUGGCACUGAGACACUGGCCAGACUCCUA